UUGUCUCUAACAGAUUUUUCUUUUUUUUUUAUAGCCUAACUGAGGCUAUUUUGCUUUUUCUUAGGAUCUACAUCAAUGACAAGCAAAAGAAGAAGGGGAAAGAGGAGAAGAAGGAAAAGGAGGAUGAGAAGAAGAGAAGGAGGAGUAACGGAAGGAGGAGAGAGAUGAGAAGGAAAAGGAAAAGACAACAGAAGAAAGGAAAAAGAAUAGCACAUGCAAAAUUAUUAAUUUGGGGAAGAAUUCAAAAAGAAAAGAAACAGCACUAUUUAUUUAAUUUGCCACAUAUGUGUGUUUUUCUCAGCAAGCAGCACAUAUGGAACAACUCUUUAUGGAAAAUAAGAGUGAUGUCAUCUGCCUAGCAAUACCAGGAUAUGAACUCAGACUCCCACAGUGCCGUUGGAUCCACACAGCUACCAGCGCGCUCUGAGGAAGGCAGACUAUUUUGAAUGUUUCCGGAGUUGUAUGCUUUGAUUUUCUUCUGAGAAAUCACUGGGAGGGUGUAAUCUGAUUUCCACAAAGAGAAAUGGGUGUGUGGGGA
rnacentral:lncRNA from 1 species